rnacentral:rRNA from 1 species
UACGUAGGGGGCUAGCGUUGUCCGGAUUCAUUGGGCGUAAAGAGCGUGUAGGCGGCCAGGUAGGUCAGCUGUGAAAACUGGAGGCUCAACCUUCAGACGUCGGCUGAAACCAUCUGGCUAGAGUCCGGGAGAGGAGAGUGGAAUUCCUGGUGUAGCGGUGAAAUGCGCAGAUAUCGGGAAGAACACCCGUGGCGAAGGCGGUUCUCUGGGACGGUACUGACGCUGAGACGCGAAAGCGUGGGGAGCGAACAGG